GAAAAAAGGAAAAAUGUCGACUUGAGAAAAGCACAGCUUCCAAUCCCCACCCACCAGCUUCAGUCAAAGGGAUGACUUCAGUCCCUUUCUUAACUAAUCCUGUCACUGUAAAAUCCUACAGUCAUUCUUCCACACAUAAAGGGAAAACGGACUCACUAGGAGGACCUAGACUCUUUCAGCUUGAACUGUUAACCAAUGGUGGAAAUGCAAGAAUGCUGAAGUUGUGCCUUCAGAGCCAAUAGAGUGGAUUUGUGUGUCCCACAUGACUGUGUUUCCCCUGUCUUUCACAUGGGCAGUAUUUAGUUCAAUUCAGAACUGCAGAUAGUAUAGCACGCAGAGCAGCAAUGGGAUGUCUGAGCACAAGUGGCUGACUUCCAGGCGACUUCAAGAAGCACAUUUGCACAUUUAUCCUGAAUUAAACUGGAAUUCUGCACCCUUGACAUCCUCCUACUCUCCUGGUGUCUGCGGAAGGAAACAGCGACCUGCACAGCACAACAAAACUACAAAUCAUCAGUGAUCUACAGACAAGCAAACGAAGUGAGCUGAGGGCAAUUUAACUACCGCCUUCUGUGUCAGUUCCCCAGAAGUCAAUGAGGCAUACUAUCGGGUCUCCAAGAGAGAGAAAGAGAGAGAAGUUUCGGCAAGUUUUUAUUGUGUGUUAUAAAGAGAGAAAGACAUGUGAGAAGCUGCCAGCUCCAUGCAUGAAGAAGGAAAUGGGAUAGACAGAGAAGGGUGCUGGUACUGACAUUUAAGGAUGCUGUCAAGUCAAUGGAGUUCUCUUGUAGUGGUUGCUUCAGUGAACAUUCAACGCUGUCGGCCUUCACACCGAAGAUAGAAACCUAACCAGCACAUGAGGUUUCUCCCCUACUCUGCCACGCUUUACAAAAAAGGUCACAAUCAACAUUCAUUGCUGUCGGUGGGUUUAACUAUGUGGACAAGCUCACUGAACAAUGAAUGCAACUGUGGCCCCACAUUUUACAGGUGCAUUUGGGAGGAAUGUCAGCUCUGAAAGGAAUAGUGAGAAACAGACAUUUCUUAUAGGUUACGUUUUUCUGGUCAAAAAUUUGUUAAGGAUAUUCAAUUAACUCUUCUUUGUUAUUAAAUGUAUUUAACUAUGUUGACUAAAAAAAAAAAGCACUGCAUUUUUCUGGAAUAUCACCCUCACAGGGUUCAGCACCUCUGAAACUGAAAUAAUGCUUGUUCAGUAUGUAUGUGGAAAAAAGUAAUAAUAUAGAGAACUUGGUAUAUAUGUACUCCUCAGGACUACGCAUAAGAGGAAAGAGUAUUUAAAUGUUAAAUCUUAAUUAACUAGGUAUUAUGGAAUAGUUUACAGAAGUCUCUUCUAUACUUGUCAAGACAAAACCAGAACUUUUCUAGUGGACAGGUAACAGAAAUAGAUGUAUACCCACUAUCAAAUAGUUAAAUCGUAAAAUUACUCUAAACUUCGGUACUUGUGUCACACUCAGUAUUGCUAACACUAAUGAAAAAAUAAAAGUGUAAUUAAAGCUCACUGUUCUGUCCUUAUUUUCUUACAACCUUUGUUUAACCCAGCUGGAAAAAACAGAGCCCAGCCUACAUUUCUACCUUUCAGAAGUCAUCCAAGGUAAGUGCAAGCCUUCACACAGCACAGUUUCAAUAUUCCGCAGUAGAGUUGCUUCUAACAUUUAGGAAAUCACACGACGUUCCUAGUUUCUCCUGAUAGACCCUCUUAAAAGCUGGGGUCUGUUAACAAUACUUCAGUUUGAUUAUCUACACAGUAACUGGAAUAGGAUACAACCAUCAGGGCUAUCAUGGGAGGAAACAUCUGUACCUGCUUUGUGAACCGUAUAUUAACAGCCUAGCUAAAUAAUAACAGUUUAAGUAAUCAAAGAGAUCAGUCCUCAAUCACAUGCAAGAUUAUAUUUGAAUAACUGAAUUUUUAAUGAAAAGAGAGGCACACUACUGAAUUAAAAUCAAUGGCUGAAAGAAGUGCGUUGUUUUUUUCAUUCUGAUAUUUACUACCAAAUAAUCUACAGAAUGUACUGAGGCCAGGGGCAGCAGUUAAGUACUAAUAGGAGGAGUGGCUAUGGAUACGUGACUUCUCAGCGACACUGCAUAGAGAACCCUAGGUUCUAUCUUAAAGUUCACUCGUUUCUACACAGCAAUGAGUACUUGAAUAACUAUCAAAUUAUAUAUAUGGAUCACAAUACAAGCAAGUUAUAUAUUCUAUCUAGAAGGACAAACUUACAUGUUCAGUUGCAGCUACUUCAUACUUGCCUAAUUUCUGCAUUUAUUACUUUUACUAACGUGACUUAAUUGUGUUAUGCAUUAAUAAACACUGAAGAUGUUACUGAAGUUUGUGGAAUUAAGCAGCAGUGGAAAGAACCAGCAUCCUAGCAUGUUAUCACCUUCAAGCACAACAGAAGAAAAUACAAAAAUAAACCAUACUGCAACUGAUAAUGGUUGAACAAUACAAUUGUUGUAGGGACACAGGAUCCAGUGCAAGAAAAAGGUUAGUUAUAGGGUAGGGGGGAAGGUGAGGGGUUGAUGGCACUCUCUCAAAAUGCACAGAUGUUUUACCUUUUAGAAAAUAUCUACAGUAAUAUUGUUGCCUUGCGUAAGUUGUGUCAGUGAUUUUAAUCAUAGAAUCGCUAAGGUUGGAAAAGACCCACAGGAUCAUCCAGUCCAACCAUUCGCCCUUCACCAAUGGUUCUCACUAAACCAUGUCCCUCAACACAACAUCCAAUCACUCUUUGAACACCACCAGGGUCGGUGACUCCACCACCUCUCUGGGCAGCCCAUUCCAGUGCCUGACCACCCUUUCAGAGAAGUAGUAUUUCCUAACGUCCAGCCUGAACCUUCCAUGGCGCAGCUUAAAGCCAUUGAAGCCAUAAUCACGCUUUCAUAUCAAGAUUAAGAAUCUCCAUAGUGUACAAAUACACAUUAUUUCAUACAGUUUGAUAAUUUUAUAUCUCCAUUAAUUUACAGGAUGCUCAUGGGCAAAGCAAUACCACACCUGAUAAGAGAGACUGCUUUUCACACACAUCCUUUACAUAAUGAAGCAAAAGUGAUCCCCAUUCAGCAACAGUAGCUGUGAAACUGAAGUUCCUUGGUCAUUUUCAGGGUUGUUAGUUUUUUUUUUUGUUGUUGUUGUUGUUAAUAUGAUACAUCCAUGCUCAAUACAGUAUCCGUGGGCUACAGAGACCUUCCAGAAAAUUGCUCCUUGGUAUCACUGUAAAUAAUUCACUCACAACAAUAUUUUUAGGUCAAGCAUAUCAAAAUUACAGGAAAUGUAAUGGACCUUGACAUAAUAGGAGCACUAGUUUCAAAGCAGUGAAGGAGGAGGAGAAGGAACAUACUUUCCACACACAGCUCAGUCACAGUUUCCCAGUGUCCACAAUACUGUGCUUGAAACAGGAGAGGCAGUACCAAGUGGUUGCUGCUAAGUUUGGAGUCACUGAGGUUUUACUUAACUCCAGACAUAGUUCUGUUUUUCCUGACUUCUGGAGCAAAAUGGGUGAAAGCAGUUCAGAUCCAGCAGUUUCUGCGUCAAGCCUCUAACUCCUGUUUACCAAGCACAGAAAGACAUUCCACCUUACCUUUCAAACUACAACACAAUGAAUACCUAUGAAAACCAUACGUGAUUCAGGACUACAGCAAAAUGAAAACAUUACACUGUCCAGAGCAGACUAAAAACACCACAAUAACAUUUCUUGCUUUACAGAUGGUAAAGAGAAGAAAUACAGUAGAAGUUAAAUAUAGAAAUAGUUUGUAUCUGUAUGUAGUAGUCUGAACUGGAAGUAGUAUCUAGAUCUUGCAUUCGAGCCAUGCGUCUUACACUGGAAGAAGGAGUAUUGUAAUUUUGACAUGAAAACCGUAUUUUCCUUCUUGCUGAUCGCCCCUUUUUCCUAAUCAAAUGAUAUUUAUUUUUUCUCUCUAGAGUUAUCAUCCACUCCAGAUUAAUAUCUGUAUCUUGCCCUCACUUUCUUCUAUUCUUCUGUAUAAUUCUCUUAACUUCUUCAAAAAAAAAUUAGUCUUCCUGAGCUUCCUCUUUUAGCACAAGUGCCAGAAAUGCAGACUGUGUUCCAAAUAGCCCAGCCAAAGCUAGCUGAAGUAGUCUGAUGUCUCCCUAUUUUACAAGGAACUGCUGAUCAUUUUCAGCCAAAAAUAGCAUUUGUAAUGGCACCACACAGUUAACACAUUUAAAUUUAUCUAACUUUAUUCCACAGAUAUAUUAGUGUCCACAAGUUUUUUCCUAAUUUGAAGUAGGUUAUUUCAUCCCCCUGAAAUGCAACACUUGCCAUUUUUUUUUUAUCUAUUACGUAAUUUCUGCAACAUCCAUUGAUUACAGCAUCGUGGUCAUAUUUUCACAGGAAUUAAUUAGAGACUUCUUGUAGGUUUACAUCUGAAAAAAAUACAUCUGAAAAAAUAUAAGGAAAGAUCCAGGGGUAGGAGCUCCAACCCACAGAAGCCAUGAAUUACAACAGAAAUUUUGUCUAUACUUGACAAGUAAAUCAGAACUGAAUCCCCUAGCUCUGCAGCCAGAGCCAGAACACGCAUAUACAACACAUAGACUUUUCCUGGUUUUGUUCCAUGAGAUACAGUAGCGCCCAAGCUAGCCCUAGUAUUUUUUUUAUUGUUUUAAUAAAAGAAUUACCUAUCAAGUUUGUAAAUAGGCUAUCAUGAGACCUGAAAGUGUAACUUAUUGUGCAGUGUUUUUUUGUUUGUUUGUUUUCAUUAUUCUCUAUUAGAAAUGUUACUCUAGGUCUUGACAAUGAAAAGACAAGUCCAAAACGGACCAGAUACCGCAGUUGUAUGAUACCACAGUUCAGAACAGAACUGGCAAAGAGGCAAGGUACCUGGAAAAUAGCAUUCUCUUGGCCAUUAAGAUAGGAGAACUUGCACUCAAAAUAAACUGCAGUAUAUAUACGCUAUUUAAACUGUGAUAUCACCUGUAAUUAAUGGCAAGCUACUGCAAUAAUCACAUGCUAUUAAGCUAUUUGAUUGCCUGGAAAUGCUAUUUAGUAAUUAAACAGUUAAAAUACUUUAUCAUAGACUUUUUGAAACACUGAAGCAAAAAAAAAGAUACACAAAUAUUAAUUUUAGCUAGCAGGAGAUGAGUCCAGGUGGUUGCCCUCUAAAGUCAACAUCACCAUCUGAUGUGUAAAACACUCCUAAUUAACAUAAAGUACACCCUGUGCUAAUUAUUGUGCUCGCCUCCAAAUAAUGAGCCAUAACAAGCCUAGAGUUCAAGAUGAUAUAUUUACAUUUAAAUGCCAUGCACUUCACCAUCCUGUAUCAAUAUGGCCCUGGUUAACACACUGACAAAAAAAUGAAAUUACUGCCCCCACCGCCCUGCAGACUAGGGAAGCACAAACAGCUAAACAGAUACUAGAACUAAAAGAACUUUCAGACAGACCUUCAGGUUGUAAUUGUGGAAGGCAACAGGGAAAAGCAGUGCUUCAAAGAUAGUGGCCAGCUGUGGUCUACAGAACAUCGUAAGCAAAGUGGAGUCUCUUCAGGAAGAUAUCCAUACAUCUCCAAAACAAUUUCGGGAGAAUAUUCCAGAAGUUCACAUGGAUUGUGGUUUGCUAACUAGUGAAUUCAGGUUCUCCGCUGGUUUUAGUCAGCAUACUUUUGAUUUCAGUGGAAUUACACCACUAUAUACAGUGUGAGGGUUUGACAAACAAACAUGCAAGGGAUAUAAAAGCAGCACAGUCCUGCACAUCCUACACUAGAAAUGCAGUCAGAGGUAAAAGUCACUCUUUGGAAGAAGGGAGGGAAGCAAAAGAACAGAUAUUUGAAAAGCAAUCACUCCUACCUACAGAAAGAGCAUUUCUACCUGCUGUGGGUGGUCGUGGACACAGCACUCGGACACCUAACUCCUCCAUUCUUGCAGGUUACAGUUUUGCAGGUACAAAUACAGAAUUUCAAAACACAACAUGCAUAGAGUAUUUUGGGGCAGAAAUAUAACACCCACGUUAUGAUAAUUUGGCCUUUGCCACCACAUGACGGUCUCCUUCACUUCAUGUAUCUUGAGGUACGUGGGUGGCAAAGAACUGACAGCAUAUUUUUGUCUAAAGAUGGCUCCCACAGCACGAGUGUACAUACUGGAAGCAAUGGCAGUUUGUUUCCUUCCUCCCUUAACACUGUGCUCUUUACUUGAGUUUCCAUCAUUUCUAUACAGAGCUAGUAACACUAAACCAUUCACCGAGGAGAGGGUUAAAAAAAGCCAAAGCAAAAAAAAAAAAAAAAAAUCACCGAGUCUUCAAAUUAUUCUCUGUCACAAUAUCCAGAUUUUAUGAAUCCUGAACCAUCUCCUCAGGGUGCCUAGCAGCACCUUUCUCUGGCCUAGAACUAAGCUCUGACUUCAGAUUUGUAUCAGCCUUUACAAGAGACGAUCAUUUUCAGCAAAGUUUCAGGCACUGCAGAUUUAUGUACAAAGACUUCUAACUGCUGCCUGGAUGUGC
rnacentral:lncRNA from 1 species